AAGUCGUAACAAGGUUUCCGUAGGUGAACCUGCGGAAGGAUCAUUGUCGUGACCCUUAAACAAAACAGACCGUGAAUGUGUUAUCCAUGCCACUCGAGCUUCUGCUCGAGCUAGGCCCCAACCUUCCAUUCGGGGGGAGGGGCCACAAAAGAACCCACGGCGCCGAAGGCGUCAAGGAACACUGAUAUUGCCUUGCUCGGGGUUGCGGUCGGCCUGCCGAUCGCACCUCGUGUAGCGAUUCUAUCUUAAUCCACACGACUCUCGGCAACGGAUAUCUCGGCUCUC
rnacentral:misc_RNA from 1 species